rnacentral:rRNA from 1 species
AGAGUUUAAUCCUGGCUCAGAUUGAACGCUGGCGGCAGGCCUAACACAUGCAAGUCGAGCGGAAACGAGUUAACUGAACCUUCGGGGAACGUUAACGGCGUCGAGCGGCGGACGGGUGAGUAAUGCCUGGGAAAUUGCCCUGAUGUGGGGGAUAACCAUUGGAAACGAUGGCUAAUACCGCAUAAUAGCUUCGGCUCAAAGAGGGGGACCUUCGGGCCUCUCGCGUCAGGAUAUGCCCAGGUGGGAUUAGCUAGUUGGUGAGGUAAGGGCUCACCAAGGCGACGAUCCCUAGCUGGUCUGAGAGGAUGAUCAGCCACACUGGAACUGAGACACGGUCCAGACUCCUACGGGAGGCAGCAGUGGGGAAUAUUGCACAAUGGGCGCAAGCCUGAUGCAGCCAUGCCGCGUGUAUGAAGAAGGCCUUCGGGUUGUAAAGUACUUUCAGCAGUGAGGAAGGGGUGUCCGUUAAUAGCGUGCAUCUUUGACGUUAGCUGCAGAAGAAGCACCGGCUAACUCCGUGCCAGCAGCCGCGGUAAUAC